AUUGAACGCUGGCGGCAGGCUUAACACAUGCAAGUCGAGCGGGGUGAUGGUGCUUGCACUAUCACUUAGCGGCGGACGGGUGAGUAAUGCUUAGGAAUCUGCCUAUUAGUGGGGGACAACAUUUCGAAAGGAAUGCUAAUACCGCAUACGUCCUACGGGAGAAAGCAGGGGAUCUUCGGACCUUGCGCUAAUAGAUGAGCCUAAGUCGGAUUAGCUAGUUGGUGGGGUAAAGGCCUACCAAGGCGACGAUCUGUGGCGGGUCGGAUAGGAUGGUCCGCCCCACUGGGACUGAGACACGGCCCAGACUCCUACGGGAGGCAGCAGUGGGGAAUAUUGGACAAUGGGCGGAAGCCUGAUCCAGCCAUGCCGCGUGUGUGAAGAAGGCCUUAUGGUUGUAAAGCACUUUAAGCGAGGAGGAGGCUACUUUAGUUAAUACCUAGAGAUAGUGGACGUUACUCGCAGAAUAAGCACCGGCUAACUCUGUGCCAGCCGCCGCCGUAAGAC
rnacentral:rRNA from 1 species